CACUUGGCCGCUGCCCUCAUUCUCCCUCCUCCCUCCUCCCUCCUCCGUCCUCCCUCCUCCCUCUCGCGCACGCGUCGUCCAUAACAACGGAAUCGAAGAAGAUCCGCCAGCGACUCAAGAGAACGAUGUCGUUUGAGGAUGUCGGUGUGGGCUUCGUGCAGCACUACUACAACUUCUUUGCCAACCAGCGCGACCAGUUGGCCGGUAUUUACCGCCCCAACACGUUGUUGACGUGGCAGAAGGAGCAGGUGCAGGGUGUGGACGCGAUCAUGGCACGUUUUGCGAACCUGGGCUUUACAGAGGCCGCCUUCAAGCAGGACAGUAUCGACUGCCAGCCCUCAAUGAGCGGCGGUGUGAUCGUCAUCGUGAACGGCGAGGUGAAGUUGAGGGGUGAGGAUCACUCACUCAAGUUCAACGACUUCUUCCACCUGGCGCAGGACAACGGUCAGUGGUACGUGUCAAAUCAGGUCUUCAACCUUGUCGGUGGUGGAGGUCAGUAAGCAACCGUAGCUGAGGACCCAGUCGCAGGUUCCUGGUACGCCGCACCUGCCACAGUCCCCCUUCCCUCUCCUUCCUUUCUUACUGUACCCUCCGCCCGCUGCACGCGUCUCGCCCCAGCCUGGAAGCUGAGCAAGAGAAUUCGCUUUCUGAUCAUUGUAGUCCCAUCAGCACAGCAGCCAUCGUCAUUUUUGCGCCCCACUCACCUAUCCCUACUUCUCACCUUGGCCUCUCGCACACACGCAGGGACAUGCCCCCUGUGUGGGCGUGUCUGCGCGCGCGUGUGGAGGCGUGCGUUGAGGGGAUGCGGUGGUCGUCGUGGGAUGGUGGACGUGGAGAGCGAAGAAGAACCAUGAUAGCAGGACACGCAUACAUACAUGUGUCCGAAAGGAAAAGGCGGCGUGGACUGGUGUGUGUGUACGUGUGUGUGUGGGCGCUCCCCUCUGCACGCUCACUUGAGUAAUGGCUAUUAGUGAAUCGAGUGGCUCCCUGUCCCUCCUU
rnacentral:misc_RNA from 1 species